UAGCACAUGAGAGCCCUACGUAUAAAAUCAAUAUAUAUCAUAAACUGGCCUAAGGAGAAAUAUUUAGCCUGCAAUGCCCUUCCCAGUACUUCUUCAUUCCUCACGGAUCAGAAAUGCUAUGUAUUUGCUUUGUAGUUUAAUAUAAUGCAGAUUACAAAUGCAACUAAAAAUAUAGAAAUUUUGCAAUAUGCUAUGCAAUGAUUGCCAACAAGGGUAAUGCAUAUGUAUUUUCUUUCUUCUUUCACAUUUGACAUUGACAUUUGCUGCAUUACCUCAAUGGUGUUCUACAUUUUACAGUGCUCUUAUCAUUGACCACUGCUAUUUUGGGAUUUAGACAUUGUGUUCCGAAGGACAUGACAUUGUACAUUAAAUUCAGUGGAGGAAGUCCCUCUUUCCUAGGGAGGUGUGCAAUUUUUUUCUUUAGUUGGGGCAAAAGCAAAUGGUAAGAAGCGCUAUUCUCUGGCACCCAUUCUCUCCCCAUCUUCCUAUCUUCUCUGAGUUGCUGCAGGAGAACCACUUACUUUCUCUAGAUAAAUCUGUUGGAGAUAACAUUUGAAAUGUAGUCUGGUCUUUCUCCACAAAAGCAAAUUGGGGAGUAGGGGGAGGAAUAGAAAAAUGAGGUAGAGGGCACAUCCCAUGCUAAGAAACUUACAUAAUUAAAUGGUUUAAAAAUUAAGACUACAGCAGUCUUGAGCAGGAGAGCUAUUUAGGAUUACUAAGAAAUUGAAAACAAAAAGGCAAAAUCCAGAAGCUGGAUUCCUACACAGAACAGCAAUUACACGCAACUUAUUUGUUUAAAAAGAAACAUUUAUUAGAACAGGCAAGAUAAAAUUAACAUAAUUUAUUUAAAUUUUAAAGUACAAAUUAAUGUUGUUCACCUAUUUACAAAUUGAUCUCUAAAGUUAAAAAAAAAAAAACCCUCACUCUCCAAAGGGAGACAUUUACAGCAUUCCUCAACAGAGGUUUGUUAUUGAAGCAGAGGCCUUGCUCUAAAAUGAAGUUCCACAUAUAAAAUAAAAAGCAAAGCUUUGUAUUUGAAGGGAGAAGCCAAAAUCCGAACAAACCCAGAAGCUCCCGUGAAGAGGCAGAAGCAUCUGACAGGAUCAAGGUUUAAGUAACUAUAUCUUGAACCCAUUAUAUAUUCUGAGGAAAUCAUUAGAAAAAUAGAAGAAAAAUUUAUAUACAUUUUACUCAGUAAAAAUAUGGACAAAUUAUUUCAUGGCUUCUUGGUUAUCAAAAGGUGGGUAUUCCCAAAGAAACCACCAUAUUCUCCGACAGAUUGUAACAUACAACUCCAAAGAGUGCCACACUGAUUCUUUGUACCCCUGGGAGCAGAGGUACAUUGAAAGGCACAACAGAAAGAGAGGAACCCAGUCAUUUUAUCACUCACCACCCUUCCAGCAUUUGCAAAACAAAGCAUGAGGGUGAUCUGGUUAAGAUCCCUCACCAUCUAGAAACUUAAUGAAGUUGACAGGAUUUUUUUUUAGGAUAUGCGCCAAGAAGAAUGAGAAAAUAUACCCUGAGGAUUUCUAGGUUUUAUUA